CCAAAGGUUUUACUCAAAAACCACAUCAAAAAAAGAGUUAAAUUCAGU
rfam:Cicer arietinum chromosome Ca7, whole genome shotgun sequence.